rnacentral:rRNA from 1 species
UACAGAGGUGGCAAGCGUUGUUCGGAAUUACUGGGCGUAAAGGGCGCGUAGGCGGUCUUUUAAGUCUUGUGUGAAAUCCCUCGGCUUAACUGAGGAACUGCACGGGAUACUGGAUGACUUGAGUUCGGGAGAGGGAAGCGGAAUUCCGGGUGUAGCGGUGAAAUGCGUAGAUAUCUGGAGGAACACCGGUGGCGAAGGCGGCAUCCUGGACCGAGAUUGACGCUGAGGCGCGAAAGCCAGGGGAGCAAACGGG